rnacentral:rRNA from 1 species
GAUGAACGCUGGCGGCGUGCCUAAUACAUGCAAGUCGAGCGAACAGACGAGGAGCUUGCUCCUCUGACGUUAGCGGCGGACGGGUGAGUAACACGUGGAUAACCUACCUAUAAGACUGGGAUAACUUCGGGAAACCGGAGCUAAUACCGGAUAAUAUAUUGAACCGCAUGGUUCAAUAGUGAAAGACGGUUUUGCUGUCACUUAUAGAUGGAUCCGCGCCGCAUUAGCUAGUUGGUAAGGUAACGGCUUACCAAGGCAACGAUGCGUAGCCGACCUGAGAGGGUGAUCGGCCACACGGGAACUGGGACACGGUCCCGGCUCCUACGGGAGGCAGCAGUAGGGAAUCUUCCGCAAUGGGCGAAAGCCUGACGGAGCAACGCCGCGUGAGUGAUGAAGGUCUUCGGAUCGUAAAACUCUGUUAUUAGGGAAGAACAAAUGUGUAAGUAACUAUGCACGUCUUGACGGUACCUAAUCAGAAAGCCACGGCUAACUACGUG